rnacentral:lncRNA from 1 species
GGGGCAAUGGCGGCGCUUCCGGUGGGCGGCGGAAGUGCGCGCGUUCGGCACAACGAACUACAAGUCCCAGAAGACCGCGGGCCGGCGGCGGUUUCUCCCGCCAGCGGCGUCGAGGGUCGAGUGUCUUGCUGCCGCCGCCAGCCCGAGGCCGGGUGUCACGAGACGGCGGCUCGCGUGCUGGUCUCGAGCGUCGCUCCUUCGGCUCUUCUCCUGGGUGCGCCUCUCCCCGUGGCCCCAGGUCUCCUCGUUUGGGGCUGAGGCCGCGACGCCAGAGCGGACGCCUGCGGCCGACGUCGAGCGCGGGGUUCGCGUCCGGGCGGCGCUGCGCCUCCGGCGUCUCCGCCUCGUGGUCCUCCGACGCCUGCCCGCGGAGGAGGGUGCGGCGCGCGGGGGGCGGCGGGAGUGAGCGCUCCGAGCCCGGCGUCGUCCUGGGUCUCGGCCGCCGCGGAGAGGGAGGUCUGGUGGCGCCCGAGAGAGCGUGAGAGACGGAGGCCGGGCGGCUGGAAGCGAGGCUCCCCGGUGGCGGCCGAGGGUGCGCCGUUGGCUCUCUCCGGCCUGCCCUCCGUGCGACAGCGGCAGGCACAGGCCAGCCGGCGGGCCGGGCGGGGCCGCAGGGUGUGGGCCGCAGAGUCGCCUUGCGUCUGCUCGGCCGUCGCUUGCGGGCUCAGUGUCGCCGCCUGGGCUCGGGGGCGGAGACCCGCCGCCGCUGCCCGCCCGGCUGUUCGCGGAGGGCUCCCGCGGAGCCGCCCUGGCCGCGCUCGCACCUCGGGCCCCAGCGUCGCCUUCCGUGCCUGUGGCCGGCCUGCCUGGCGCGGACGCCCCCGGGGCGGGCGCUCCGCACCUGCUGACGCGGUUUUAGUCCUCCCGGAGUCUGCAGUCCGACUUGGAAGGGAGAGGCUCAGGGAGCGGCGUUGACUCAGGCGAGGGCAUUGUGGCCAAGGAGGGAUGGCGCGUCUGCGGUUUUCCUCUCUCCAAAGUGGACGCGGGACGCUAGUGUGCCCUUUUGUUGGCUCUGGACGGCGUCGUCUGCGUGGGGUGUCGAACAGUACGCGGUGCCGGCACCGCGGGGCGAAGUCGGCGCUGAGAACGGCAGAGCUGAAAGGUGGAAAGGACCAGGGUCAGUGUUGGGAUCCUCCUUGAGUCGCUGAAUCCGCUCUGGAACUUUUCCUUCGGAGCUGCCACCCACAGUCCUGAAGUCAUCUCACAGUUUGUGAUCAGUAAUGAUUGGUGCAGAGUGCAUAUGUCAACAUGGAGGUACCAAUGUCUGGCGACAGCCAUCGCAGUCUUCCCUGUCUCUUGGAAAAAAUGUUGUGUUUUCGGAGAUUGAAUAUCGAGAGGAAGAAAAUGGUUCCUAGUUUUUGGUGACAGACCUUGAUCUGGGAGGAGCCCACACAGACUAAGACAUCACCCAUCCUUUUGCUGCAAGUAUAUCCUAGGAUCUGAAGCCUUCUGAUCCUCACCUUGGGCUUAGAUGCUCCUGUAUCAUCAAAUCCUGGAGAGAAUCCUACACCAGUUCCCUCCCCUGCCUCACCUACCUGCCAUCUCUGACAAGUCGCAGCAGCCACUUGGUUAAGCAGAAGGUGUAACUUGG